GAUGAACGCUGGCGGCGUGCCUAAUACAUGCAAGUCGAGCGAACAGACGAGGAGCUUGCUCCUCUGACGUUAGCGGCGGACGGGUGAGUAACACGUGGAUAACCUACCUAUAAGACUGGGAUAACUUCGGGAAACCGGAGCUAAUACCGGAUAAUAUAUUGAACCGCAUGGUUCAAUAGUGAAAGACGGUUUUGCUGUCACUUAUAGAUGGAUCCGCGCCGCAUUAGCUAGUUGGUAAGGUAACGGCUUACCAAGGCAACGAUGCGUAGCCGACCUGAGAGGGUGGUCUGCCACACUGGAACUGAGACACGGUCCAGACUCCUACGGGAGGCAGCAGUAGGGAAUCUUCCGCAAUGGGCGAAAGCCUGACGGAGCAACGCCGCGUGAGUGAUGAAGGUCUUCGGAUCGUAAAACUCUGUUAUUAGGGAAGAACAAAUGUGUAAGUAACUAUGCACGUCUUGACGGUACCUAAUCAGAAAGCCACGGCUAACUACGUG
rnacentral:rRNA from 1 species